UUAACGAACCGGCAGUGUAAAUAU
rnacentral:miRNA from 1 species